GGGUGCUUGCACCUGGUGGCGAGUGGCGAACGGGUGAGUAAUACAUCGGAACAUGUCCUGUAGUGGGGGAUAGCCCGGCGAAAGCCGGAUUAAUACCGCAUACGAUCUACGGAUGAAAGCGGGGGACCUUCGGGCCUCGCGCUAUAGGGUUGGCCGAUGGCUGAUUAGCUAGUUGGUGGGGUAAAGGCCUACCAAGGCGACGAUCGGCAGCUGGUCUGAGAGGACGACCAGUCACACUGGGACUGAGACACGGCCCAGACUCCUACGGGAGGCAGCAGUGAGGAAUUUUGGACAAUGGGCGAAAGCCUGAUCCAGCAAUGCCGCGUGUGUGAAGAAGGCCUUCGGGUUGUAAAGCACUUUUGUCCGGAAAGAAAUCCUUGGUUCUAAUAUAGCCGGGGGAUGACGGUACCGGAAGAAUAAGCACCGGCUAACUACGUGCCAGCAGCCGCGGUAAUACGUAGGGUGCGAGCGUUAAUCGGAAUUACUGGGCGUAAAGCGUGCGCAGGCGGUUUGCUAAGACCGAUGUGAAAUCCCCGGGCUCAACCUGGGAACUGCAUUGGUGACUGGCAGGCUAGAGUAUGGCAGAGGGGGGUAGAAUUCCACGUGUAGCAGUGAAAUGCGUAGAGAUGUGGAGGAAUACCGAUGGCGAAGGCAGCCCCCUGGGCCAAUACUGACG
rnacentral:rRNA from 1 species